ACAAAGCAGUGUUGGCAUGUCUCGUCUUUGUCGCCACUGCACUAUUGUUCUGUGUGUUUUCUCUCAAAGCCCACAUGUCUGCAAUAAUGAUAGAUUUCCUCCAAGCAACAGUUGCUCUUUUGUUCUGGGAUGAGGCCGCUGUUAAUGGCAUAGUAUUAAGAGUGCCUCAAAGCCACAGCUGUGAUUCUGGAGCCUCUCGCUCCUCCUGAUUGAACCACCUGCGAGCCAUCAGCCUGCAGCCUAAUCAACCACUGUCCAAAAGGACCAGCACUGCCAUCAACACCUCGUCAGAUUAUCAGCUUACUCAGCAUGGCAAAUAGACCAGUUUGCUUAUGCUUUCUCAUGCUAAUCAUUCUGUGUGUAUUCCUGUUAAGUUAAUCCUUGCUCAUGCAUUUCUCCUGACCAUAGCAUGGAUAUGUAGUCUUUAAUUAAACAUAGGUUUUAUUGGUAAAGGGAAACAUGUUAUAAUAAAUGUCUGUUUUUAUAGAGCUAUUUGCAUGUUGGUCAUCUAGGUUUUAAACAUUUAAACAUAGUUUUGAAGGGAUGAGACAUUUUAAAUAAGGAAUACAGGUUCCCACUAUGAAUAGAAACAAAUUGGAUCCUGAUGGGAUGAGUUGGGAAAUGACUGGAGCUGACCUCUGAGAAUGAUUGAGCUAAUUUUCAGUGGAAAAUAUGUCAAGGUUCAGACUUUGAAUUUUCAGACAACUGUAGCUAUCAAAAUGAUAUUUGAUGUAAUUGAAUAUCAAUUUGAGCACAUUUCAAAAUUAAAUGUUUUGAACACUAAACUGUCUGCAGAUGCAUUUAAAAAGUUACUUUAAAAUUCAAGGUUUUUCCUUCAGACUCCACCGACUCUUUAAAACAGCUGCAGACAUUUUCAUACAGAAAAAAAGCUUUUAAUUCAUUUGUUGUUUUAUGUAUUAUUCUGUUGCUUUACCUUGUUUUAUAUAAUGAUUUUAUUUCUUAUUUUACUGUUAAGCACUUUGUGAUUUUAAUCUGUAAAAAGUGCUUCAUGAAUACAUUUUACUUAGUUGCUGAAUGAUAAUAUCAGUAUCACUGCCCCAUCAUUAAAACAAGAGCAGACCAGAGACUAUAAUUGCUGUAAUUGCAACCCUCGUGGCAUUAAAAGUUGGGAGAGGUAAAAAAAAAAGAAAUUUAAAACAUUCUAAAAUCGGAUAACUUGCAAAUCCUGUAAGGUCAAAAGCCACAAAGGUGACAAAGAUAAAUGGCUCUGUUCACUUAGAUCUAUAUCUCUAAUAUGGAUGCUUGUCAGGGAAAGUUAGAGGUCUCAAAAAACUCUUAGAUUCUUCAGAUACCUUCUCGCUAUCUGUGCACCAACUUUCAUGGUGACCUCUUGGACUGGUGUUGCCACUUUUCACAGAACUAAUUGGUGGUGCUUAUUUUAUUAGCACUGAUCUGCUGUGUUGAACAAAGUUUCUGCAUUGCUCUUCAUUCAGUUGACACUAACUGCACUUACUGUUCUGUUUAUGUUUCUCAUUUAUUUGUUAUCAAUAUUUAUUCUUUGUUCACACAUCAUGUCAAGUAUGCCUUGACAUGCUGAAAGUGGGAUCUCUGCCAGUGCAGCCUUGGCAAGAUGUCUGUUCUAUAAUGAGAUUUUGUGGGAGUACAUCGGCUUUUCUAAUAAGAUGCGUUGCUUUUACACACUUACAGAAACUUUGAGUGCUUUACACAGAUAAAUACUACUUUACAUCCAAUCAAAUGUAAUUAUGAUUAUGAUAAUGAUGUCUGCUUCUUCUUUUGAUGGAUCCCUUUGAGGGUUGCCGUGUUCCCAGCGUCCUCUGCUCAAAAAUGUGUUCAUCACUCUCUUAAAUAUUUCACCUUCACUGUGCAGAACACGUUUAAUACUGGAAAGUGAAUUCUUCUGCUGAAGGUCUGAGGUUUGUCUGUAAUGCUGUCAUGAAGCUGUGAGGAACAAGGUACCGUAUAGUAACAGGUUAAUACAAUAAAUAGAAUAAAGUACAAUAAAGACAGACAUCACAUAGCAGUUCUUUUGAGUUUCCCCAUAAUAAAUGUCACAAGAUUUUU